GACGAACGCUGGCGGCGUGCUUAACACAUGCAAGUCGAACGGAAAGGCCCUGCUUUUGUGGGGUGCUCGAGUGGCGAACGGGUGAGUAACACGUGAGUAACCUGCCCUUGACUUUGGGAUAACUUCAGGAAACUGGGGCUAAUACCGGAUAGGAGCUCCUGCUGCAUGGUGGGGGUUGGAAAGUUUCGGCGGUUGGGGAUGGACUCGCGGCUUAUCAGCUUGUUGGUGGGGUAGUGGCUUACCAAGGCUUUGACGGGUAGCCGGCCUGAGAGGGUGACCGGCCACAUUGGGACUGAGAGACGGCCCAGACUCCUACGGGAGGCAGCAGUGGGGGAGAUUGCGCAAUGGGCGGAAGCCUGAUGCAGCAACGCCGCGUGCGGGAUGACGGCCUGCGGGUUGUAAACCGCUUUCGCCUGUGACGAAGCGUGAGUGACGGUAAUGGGUAAAGAAGCACCGGCUAACUACGUG
rnacentral:rRNA from 1 species